AUCGCCCCGGACACAUGGCCGCGGUGAAAAACAACAUUCGCCCGAGCAGCCAAUUUCCAUGUGAAGAGGUUAGGAGGGGAUAAAAUUAAGCGAUUCUACACGUUUUGUGUAUUUCUGCAAAAAAGCCAAGUGGUUGGUAAUUGAUCGACCAGUCUCAGCUUUUGGGCCUUUGGCAAAUGCAGCUAGAUCUGCGGUCCAUGUUCUGAAGGCUGGACAUGAACCCAAAUGAAAAGGAAUGGCUUUAAUUCCUCUUUCUGCAACAAUUGAAGAAAGAGGGGAGCAGCACUCUCCCCCUCCCCAUCCCAUCACCUAUGGCAUGCUGCUUCUCCUUGAGCCCAGAGCAAUGGAGUUGGCCAUCUAUGGACUGAAAUUCCUGAAACUGAGGAAAAAAUACCAAACUUGAUUUUGGAUCUUCAAUCAGUCAGGACAGGCUGGGUGAUGCAGCAGUAAGAAGGAAGUCCAAAAUCUCACCAGCUUAAAAUAGCAAAGACUUAUUUCUCACUCAUGCUAUAUAUGUCCAUUGUAAGUCUGUGGAAGAUCAGCUAUAAAUCAUCUUCACUAGAAUGCAAGCUGAUGGAUCCUCUUUUCUCUAAAAUGUCACCAGUUUACAGGGACAAGGCAAUAAAAUUAUGUGCCAGUUUUCAAAGGUUUCUGCCUAAAGUGACAAUAUCACCUCAAAUAAAUUUCAUUGGCCAAAAUAAGUCAUGUGACACACCUAAUUUCCAAGGACCAAGGAAGUGUAUUUCCACUCUAUUCCCCCAAAAAGGAAAACCAGAAAUAAACAGCAUAUAAGAGUACCAAGUCUGCCUUGCUGGCUGCUAAAUAUUCAAUUUACUUUCCUUCCAGCAUAUAAAAUACAAUUACCCCCAAAAAAGAACCCAGAAGAGAUCUAAUAGGUUUGAUUAGACUUAGUAACACAUACAUGGAAAAGACAUCACGGGAAAAAUCCAGAGAUAUGAGAUCUGGAGCUCAGUAGAAAAUUUAGGACUAAAUAUUUAAACAUGGAAGUCAUAGGCAAGAAAAUAGUAAUUAAAACAAUAGGAAUCAAUCCAUUUUCCUGAGGGAAUUUUGUAGUUUGAGGACAGGACCCAGGACAGAGCUCUGGAGAUCAACAUUUGAUUGUAAGGUGAAAGAAUAUGCAAAAAA